GGGCCUAUAGCCUAGCCAGGACAAGGCGACGGGCUUCGGACCCGUAGAUCGGGGGUUCGAAUCCCCCUAGGCCCG
rnacentral:tRNA from 1 species